rnacentral:rRNA from 1 species
GACGUAGGGUGCAAGCGUUGUCCGGAUUUAUUGGGCGUAAAGAGCUCGUAGGCGGCUUGUUGCGUCGACUGUGAAAACCCGCGGCUUAACCGCGGGCUUGCAGUUGAUACGGGCAGGCUAGAGUUCGGUAGGGGAGACUGGAAUUCCUGGUGUAGCGGUGAAAUGCGCAGAUAUCAGGAGGAACACCGAUGGCGAAGGCAGGUCUCUGGGCAUUAACUGACGCUGAGGAGCGAAAGCAUGGGGAGCGAACAGG